rnacentral:rRNA from 1 species
GCCGGUGAGUGAAGAAGGCCUUCGGGUUGUAAAGCUCUUUUGUCAGGGAAGAAACAGCAGCUCUAACACAGUCUGCGAAUGACGGUACCUGAAGAAUAAGCACCGGCUAACUACGUGCCAGCAGCCGCGGUAAUACGUAGGGUGCAAGCGUUAAUCGGAAUUACUGGGCGUAAAGCGUGCGCAGGCGGUUAUACAAGACAGGCGUGAAAUCCCCGGGCUUAACCUGGGAAUGGCGUCUGUGACUGUAUAGCUAGAGUGUGUCAGAGGGGGGUGGAAUUCCACGUGUAGCAGUGAAAUGCGUAGAUAUGUGGAGGAACACCAAUGGCGAAGGCAGCCCCCUGGGAUAACACUGACGCUCAUGCACGAAAGCGUGGGGAGCAAACAGGAUUAGAUACCCUGGUAGUCCACGCCCUAAACGAUGCUGACUAGUUGUUGGGAAUCUACAUUCUCAGUAACGUAGCUAACGCGUGAAGUCAGCCGCCUGGGGAGUACGGUCGCAAGAUUAAAACUCAAAGGAAUUGACGGGGACCCGAACAAGCGGUGGAUGAUGUGGAUUAAUUCGAUGCAACGCGAAAAAGCUUACCUACCCUUGACAUGUCACUAACGAAGUAGAGAUACAUUAGGUGCCCGUAAGGGAAAGUGAACACAGGUGCUGCUUGGCUGUCGUCAGCUCGUGUCGUGAGAUG